GGCAGCUUAUAUGCCCAUGUUGCACUCUCGCAUUUUUACCGAGACUGAAAAGUACUGUGACCAGGAAUUUACCACUUGCAAGGAGGAUCAGCCAUUGUUUGUCCAAUUUUGUGCAAAUGAUCCAGACAUUUGUUAGAGGCUGCAAAGAGAGUGGAACCUUUUUGUGACUAUGUUGACAUCAAUUUGGGGUGGCUUUGCUGUUAAUUUGGGUUGCUGAUAUAAUGAAACAUGUGAAGAAUUUAGAAUUUGGGAAGGGACAUGUAUAUAAAGCUGUGCAUGUAAUCGAUUUUUAUUUCCUUUCAUCAACUUUGGCCUUAUAUAGGAUGUAUUAGGAUUUGUUCUGUUCACCUACUACCAUAAUAGAUUGUGCAAAGAACCUUGUUUUUACAAUUUAAAACUCUUGCCCCUAUUGACUAUUGAAUUAGAUCAUAUAAAUAUUGAUCGGGUUAAUUUGA